AGUCUGAGACCUGAUGCCGAGCCGAUUGUGGCGAAGUGGAUGAUCCUAUGCUGUCGAGAAAAGCCUCUAGCGAGUUUCAUGGCGGCCCGUACCCUAAACCGACUCAGGUGGUCAGGUAGAGAAUACCGAGGCGUUCGGGUGAACUAUGGUUAAGGAACUCGGCAAAAUGCCCCCGUAACUUCGGGAGAAGGGGGGCCAGCUCUGGUGAGAGGACUUGCUCCUCGAGCUGGGGGUGGCCGCAGAGACCAGCGAGAAGCGACUGUUUACUAAAAACACAGGUCCGUGCGAAGCCGUAAGGCGAUGUAUACGGACUGACGCCUGCCCGGUGCUGGAACGUUAAGGGGACCGGUUAGCUUGGAUUCGUCCAGGCGAAGCUGAGAACUUAAGCGCCAGUAAACGGCGGUGGUAACUAUAACCAUCCUAAGGUAGCGAAAUUCCUUGUCGGGUAAGUUCCGACCUGCACGAAUGGCGUAACGACUUCUCGACUGUCUCAACCAUAGGCCCGGUGAAAUUGCACUACGAGUAAAGAUGCUCGUUUCGCGCAGCAGGACGGAAAGACCCCGGGACCUUUACUACAGUUUGAUAUUGGUGUUCGGUUCGGCUUGUGUAGGAUAGCUGGGAGACUUUGAAGCAGGCACGCCAGUGUUUGUGGAGUCGUCGUUGAAAUACCAGUCUGGUCGUGCUGGAUGUCUAACCUCGGUCCGUGAUCCGGAUCAGGGACAGUGUCUGAUGGGUAGUUUAACUGGGGCGGUUGCCUCCUAAAGAGUAACGGAGGCGCCCAAAGGUUCCCUCAGCCUGGUUGGCAAUCAGGUGUUGAGUGUAAGUGCACAAGGGAGCUUGACUGUGAGACCGACGGGUCGAGCAGGGACGAAAGUCGGGACUAGUGAUCCGGCGGUGGCUUGUGGAAGCGCCGUCGCUCAACGGAUAAAAGGUACCCCGGGGAUAACAGGCUGAUCUUCCCCAAGAGUCCAUAUCGACGGGAUGGUUUGGCACCUCGAUGUCGGCUCGUCGCAUCCUGGGGCUGGAGUCGGUCCCAAGGGUUGGGCUGUUCGCCCAUUAAAGCGGUACGCGAGCUGGGUUUAGAACGUCGUGAGACAGUUCGGUCCCUAUCCGCUGUGCGCGUAGGAAUAUUGAGAAGGGCUGUCCCUAGUACGAGAGGACCGGGACGGACGAACCUCUGGUGUGCCAGUUGUUCUGCCAAGGGCAUGGCUGGUUGGCUACGUUCGGGAGGGAUAACCGCUGAAAGCAUCUAAGCGGGAAGCCUGCUUCGAGAUGAGUAUUCCCACCUCCUUGAGAGGGUAAGGCUCCCAGUAGACGACUGGGUUGAUAGGCCAGAUAUGGAAGCCCGGUAACGGGUGGAGUUGACUGGUACUAAUAGGCCGAGGGCUUGUCCA
rnacentral:rRNA from 1 species